rfam:Vigna angularis cultivar Jingnong 6 chromosome 3, whole genome shotgun sequence.
UUUGGCAAGUGAUGAAGAGAAUCUUAUCCUACACACUGAAAUUACUGUGUGGAUUUCAACUCCGCUUAUUAUCUGAUGCCUAA